UUUUUGAUGCAAAUAUUCUUUCACCGAAGGAGAAAAAAAAACGUAUCUUCAGUGUGGUAUUUGUUCCAAAUUUACGAGUUAUACUUUUACUAAAAAUAUGGACCUUGUAUCAGGCUAAACUUUGAGAGAGAUAGAGGGGGCUGAAACAAGGGUUUAGAAUGGCAACAAUAAAACUAGGGUUUGUAUAGAGUUUGUCUCUUGGGAACAAACAGUAGGGUUUGAGGGUUGAUUCACCUUGGGAAACACUAUUAGGAUUGAGUCUCUUGGUUACGGGAAGAGAUUGGGGCUUUGGGUAGAAAUAGGUGGGAGACUUAUUCUUGUAACCCAUUGAUUUCUCUUUUGUAACGAUACUCAUCAUAUAGUGGAUUGGAGGGCUGCUCUCUCCCCCAGACUAGGUCAAUUUGGACCGAACUGGGUCAAUAAAUUCUUUUGUGUUCUUCUCCUCUUUGUGUUCUUCUCGCCGUUGUUUUCUACUUUUGGCUUGUAUUUAAUUGUUCCAUACACUUUGUUUUGGUUGCUUGAUUAUCUCUUGCUCCACACAUCAAGUUGUUAUUGGUGUGAUUUUUCAUCGAAUUCACAACAAUUGGCGCCCACCGUGGGGCAGGGUCAAAGGAUAAUUAAGUACCAUGGGUUCAAAGUGGGAUAUUGAGAAGUUUACCAGAGAUAACGAUUUUGGGUUAUGGAAGGUAAAGAUGGAAGCAGUGUUAAUACAACAAAAGUGUGAGAAAGCUUUGAAGGGUGAAGGUUCGUUACCGGUCACCAUAUCACGAGCGGAGAAGACCGAGAUGGUGGACAAGGCCGGGAGUGCCAUUGUCUUGUGACAUCGAUGUGGGCAAAGUCGGAAUCUUUGUAUAUGACAAAGUCUUUGGCUCAUCGACAAGUCCUAAAGCAACAACUUUACUCAUUCAAGAUGGUAAAGUCAAAGGCCUUCAUGGAGCUGCUUGUGGAGUUCAACAAAAUCAUUGGUGAUUUGGAGAACAUUAAGUUGUGUCUUGAGGAUGCGGGUGCUCUGAUGGUGUGGUGUUGUUUGGAGGAUGAAGAAGGUGAUAUGUCUCACCUUGGGAGUGAUGCCUAGUGGAACGGUGGUCGUCUGGAGAGACGUUAAACACUCAACAUCAGCCUGGAGAGGCGGUGGUAACAAUACUCAUGAUCUACCUGUUGAUGUGGAGUUUCAAGGUGGAAGACAUAGUGAGAUGUACGCAUUUGCUAGUUGAGGUAGAGUACGCUCAGCGUGAGGUGGAGUUGAACACACCGGUAAUGGUACGACUAUGGAGAACCUUGGGUGCUAUGCUCUAUGGUGAGCAAGGGAUUUCUUCAUGAGGUUGAAGAAUGUACAGCACGGCUUGCGGGAUUACCCUAAAAGAAGGCCAAGAGUGAUUGGAUGCAAGGUGAUCUUCAAGGAAGCGGGAGAUGUUCUGCGUUGAAGAUGUUAUGGUGAAUGCUUGUGGGACUACCUAAAACUCCUAGUGUAGUUGGACUGCAAGGACUCUUCGAGAAGACGGAAGACGUUCCGAUGGCUGAAGAGGUUAAGGUGAAUGCUUGUGGGACUACCUAAAACUCCUAGUGUAGUUGGACUGCAAGGACUCUUCGAGAAGACGGAAGACGUUCCGAUGGCUGAAGAGGUUAAGGUGAAUGCUUGUGGAACUACCUAAAAUUCCUAGUGUAGUUGGACUGCAAGGACCUUCGAGAAGGCGGAAGACAUUCCGAGGGCUGAAGGGGUUAAGGUGUGCACUUGUGGAACUACCUAAAAUGCCUUGAGUAGUUUGGACACAAGGAUCUUCAAAAGGGCGGAAGGCAUUCCGAUGGUUGAAGAGGUCAGGGUGUAAACUUGUGGAGCUACUUGGUGUCGUGGGAAGCAAGGGAAAGAGCAGCAUGGUGGUUGAUGUUAAAUUGGCAUCAUCACUAAUUUAGAGUCAAGGUGGAGAAUGUUGUAGUAUGACUCAAAAUUUGAUGGAUGGAGAAUAUUGUUGCUAAAAAUAUAAAAGAUUUAUUUCAAAUAUAUUUUGUGCUGAAAAUAUAUUUAUGGACAAUAAAUAUAUUUUUGUAUCGUAUGAAGAACGAUUUGAUGCAAAUAUAUUUUGAAAGGGAAUAUUAUAUUUUUGAUGCAAAUAUUCUUUCACUGAAGGAGAAAAAAAAACGUAUCUUCAGUGUGGUAUUUGUUCCAUAUUUAUGAGUUAUACUUUUACUAUAAAUAUAGACCUUGUAUCAGGCUAAACUUUGAGAGAGAUAGAGGGGGCUGAAACAAGGGGUUUAGAAUGACAACAACAAAACUAGGGUUUGUAUAGAGUUUGUCUCUUGGGAACAAACACUAGGGUUUUGAGGGUUGAUUCACCUUGGGAAACACUAUUAGGAUUGAGUCUCUUGGUUACGG
rnacentral:lncRNA from 1 species